rnacentral:rRNA from 1 species
AACGCGAAGAACCUUACCAAGGCUUGACAUAUAGCGAAAAGUGGCAGAGAUGUCAUGUCCGCAAGGGCGCUAUACAGGUGGUGCAUGGUUGUCGUCAGCUCGUGUCGUGGGAUGUUGGGUUAAGUCCCGCAACGAGCGCAACCCUCGUUCUGUGUUACCAGCAUUCAGUUGGGGACUCACAGGAGACUGCCGGGGUCAACUCGGAGGAAGGUGGGGAUGACGUCAAAUCAUCAUGCCCCUUAUGUCUUGGGCUGCACGCAUGCUACAAUGGCCGGUACAAAGUGCUGCGAGAUCGUAAGAUUGAGCGAAUCACAUAAAGCCGGUCUCAGUUCGGAUUGAGGUCUGCAACUCGACCUCAUGAAGUCGGAGUUGCUAGUAAUCGUAGAUCAGCAACGCUACGGUGAAUACGUUCCCGGGUCUUGUACACACCG